rnacentral:lncRNA from 1 species
AUUCCUUGUCAUUUACGAUGAAAACUUGCAAAAUGCAAACAGUUUACUUAGAGGAUUAGGGUUGAUGUGAAGGAUUAAUGCAGAGCUAAGGAAUCUCCCUGGAAGAUAUUUGGAUCGAAUUCAGCCAGCACAAGUUCCCACAAGUUGUACUUGCUAUCGGAUGAGAUGCUAAAAGCCAGGAAGGAAGAAACUGAGGGGCACAGCGAGUAAACUGCUGCUAUCUCACCUUUGGCACCCUGGUCUGAUGGAAGAGUGAAAGAGCGGUGAAACAAAUUUGGCAUGCAUUGCUGUGGUCUCCACUAAAUGACUUGUGCCACCUUGAAUCGUAUCAGCUGGGACCUUGAACUGCAGCCAGGCAGAGAACGUGUCCGUGCCCGAUGGCUUCCAGGGAGAAAACUCAGCAUCUCUCAGGAAUGGGGAGUAAUUCCCCGAGGACCUGAACACCUGCUUGGCUUACCAGGGGUGAAUUAACCUCUGGUAAAUGCUGAAGAGAGCGAUACAGGUUACACGGGUUGGAGCGGUGUUGAUAGAGACUGCACAGAGGUGCUCAGGAAACACAACUGCUUUUCUGUGACAGAGGCUGAAAUUUUGGGUUGGGGAGAGCGACAAAGAAUUUGAAGCAAAAAAUAAACUCUGAAUAAAAAAUCAGUUUGGAAUCUUUAAAGCUAGGCCUCUGAUACUCUAAAAUGCCAAAGAGAUCAUACCAAUGUUAGCAGCUUAACAUGCUGCAAAAUACAAGCCAAGCAAGGAAACUGAAACAAGAAUUAC